UGGGGAAUAUUGCACAAUGGAGGGAACUCUGAUGCAGCGACGCCGCGUGAGUGAUGAAGGACUUCGUUUCGUAAAGCUCUGUCCUAUGGGAAGAUAAUGACGGUACCAUAGGAGGAAGCCCCGGCUAACUACGUGCCAGCAGCCGCGGUAAUACGUAGGGGGCAAGCGUUGUCCGGAAUCACUGGGCGUAAAGGGUUCGCAGGCGGAAAUGCAAGUCAGUUGUGAAAGGCAGAGGCUCAACCUCUGUAAGCAAUUGAAACUGUAUUUCUUGAGAUGUGGAGAGGCAAGUGGAAUUCCUAGUGUAGCGGUGAAAUGCGUAGAUAUUAGGAAGAAUACCGGUGGCGAAGGCGACUUGCUGGACACAAACUGACGCUGAGGAACGAAAGCGUGGGUAGCAAACAGG
rnacentral:rRNA from 1 species